UUUACCGGGCUUUAUCGGUUGUUGCUGCAUGAAGUCUGCUGCAAUUUCUCUGAGAUUUCUCAAGAUCAUCAGUUUGGACAGAAUUCAUUUGAAGAAUUAAUAGCACUAGCAGGUUCCAAUAAAGGCUGGAACAGAACAGACAGAAAAGAAUCUGUCAGAAGAAAUUCAACUACUGUUCGUGCACCAGAUGGUGAAGUAGAAAAGUUCGUAAAAACUUCUGCAGCUUGCAUCUGACAGAGAUGCAAAAAGAAUAAGAGAGCGGUCCUGAAAACAAGCAAAUUCAAGGUAUUUCAAUUG